GCAGCUAAAGGGAGGAUUUGGUUCCAUGUCAGGAGAGCGUCUGCCCUAAUGGACCCGAGGAAUGUCGGCGCCAUUGCCAACUCCCAGCAUGCACUGCGGCGCUCACAAGGGAGAAGGCUGUCCAGAAAGACCAGCCUCAACCGGUCUUCACGUUCAAGUCUGGUCGACUGUCUCUCCUGCUCCUCCUACCUCCAUGGAGGUCAACUGUCUCUCCUGCUUCUCCUGUCUCCCUAGUGUUAAACGGUCUCUCCUGCUCUUCCUUCCUCCCUUGAGGUCUUAUGUCUCUCCUGCUCCUCCUUUUCUCCCUUGAGGUCUUAUGUCUCUCCUGCU
ensembl:lncRNA